rnacentral:lncRNA from 1 species
AAAUUACAUAUCAAUAAAGACUUAGAACAUUUGUGCCAAUAACAUGUAUUUGUAAUAAGCUGUAUGGAUCACAUGUCCGGCUGCUUUAGGACGCCUGCAAACAUCGUUUCAGAUGUUUUCUGUUCAUCGUCCUCUUAAAUAUGACCUGGGAUUUCCGUCUUUGGCGAGAGGAAACGCACAUGGAGGGCUUCGCGCAUAUAAACAGCGAUCAGAGAUGGAGCGUGCUUCUAUUUGGACGUCUCAAAUAUAGCCCCGCUGUGAUGUAGUCUCCAUGGCGACGGUCGUUUCCUCGGUAACCCCAGUCACCGUUGCCAUAGCACCCUUGUUUCCACAGUAACCCCCCCCCCCCCCCAGAUGGAUUGGAAGCAAUAUUGAAGAUUUUCAUCUCAAACAGGUUGUCUCCGGUCUCGAAUGCGACUGUCUUGUCAUUACGCGCUGCGUGCGUAAAACACGAACCCAAACACGUCCGGCGCCCCUGCAGGGAGUCAACGAGCUCACAGAGGCGGAAAUCACGGAGGAGGGGAGGGCAGGGCUGUCUGGACCUCCCCUCCUGUGAAAGAACAGCUUAUUGUCCCACACAUAUCAAUUUGAGGAAACUUUAUUGUUUCGCUGUGUAAUAAUAGAAUCUGAAUGCACUUAUGCCAAACGUGAACAAAAAUACCCUUUUGUAGGACUAUUAAACUAUACGAAAGCCUCCGGCAGUCUUCGUAGUAAACUGAAACCAAAAGAGGAAUAAUGCACAAAAUGCUGUUCAUUAUUCACCCAACCAUGAAUUGGAAUUUGCACCUUCCUGGGAGCAUCGCCCACAAAGGGAAAUUGGAAAUCGGAGGUCUGUUUAUUCUUUGUCCCAAUGAACUGCCCCACAAAUGAAAAAGAUGGGAGGCGCAACAGUGAGCGGCGGCGCAAAGCCAGGAGAGGACAAAGGAGGAGCAGCAGCACGUGAGGAAUUAUGAAUGGACUGGGAGCACAUUAUUGUCUGGCUGUCCCGGGUGCGCUACCGCGAGUGCCCAGCAGAGGCUGCUGUUCUCCCACUAACAGCGUUGGUCAAAGAUGUUCAUUUUCUGCUCAGACCUCCUGGAACCCCAAUUAGACUGCCUCCCUCUGAGGGCUGCAGUGACUCUGGUCUUCCUGUUGAGCCAGAUGGGCCAAUGUUAGGAGCUGAGCCCCCACCCCCCUAAACUGAUAGUUCUUCCUCCCCUGCUGUGAACUGGCGCCCUCAAGCCUGGAUUAACAAGUGGUGCCCAGCAAUUCAAAAUCCCCCCCCCCCUCUCCAGUU